UACGAAGGUCCCGAGCGUUGUUCGGAAUCACUGGGCGUAAAGGGAGCGUAGGCGGCGCGGUAAGUCAGAUGUGAAAUCCCGGGCUCAACCCGGAACUGCAUCCGAUACUGCCGUGCUAGAGGAUUGGAGAGGUAGCUGGAAUUCUUGGUGUAGCAGUGAAAUGCGUGGAGAUCAAGAGGAACACUCGUGGCGAAAGCGAGCUACUGGACAAUAUCUGACGCUGAGCUCGAAGGCCAGGUAGCGAAAGGG
rnacentral:rRNA from 1 species